rnacentral:rRNA from 1 species
UACACGACCGUACCGCAAACCGACACUGGUGCGCGAGAUGAGUAUUCUAAGGCGCUUGAGAGAACUCAGGAGAAGGAACUCGGCAAAUUGACACCGUAACUUCGGAAGAAGGUGUGCCUUUAGUAGGUGAACCAUUUACUUGGGGAGCCCAAUGAGGCUGCAAAAAAUCGGUGGCUGCAACUGUUUAUUAAAAACACAGCACUCUGCUAAGACGAAAGUCGACGUAUAGGGUGUGACGCCUGCCCGGUGCUGGAAGAUUAAAUGAUGGGGUGCAAGCUCUUGAUUGAAGUCCCAGUAAACGGCGGCCGUAACAAUAACGGUCCUAAGGUAGCGAAAUUCCUUGUCGGGUAAGUUCCGACCUGCACGAAUGGCGUAAUGAUGGCCACACUGUCUCCUCCUGAGACUCAGCGAAGUUGAAAUGUUUGUGAUGAUGCAAUCUCCCCGCGGAAAGACGGAAAGACCCCAUGAACCUUUACUGUAGCUUUGUAUUGGACUUUGAACAGAUCUGUGUAGGAUAGGUGGGAGGCUUUGAAGUGUGGUCGCUAGAUCGCAUGGAGCCAACGUUGAAAUACCACCCUGGUGUGUUUGAGGUUCUAACCUAGGUCCAUUAUCUGGAUCGGGGACAGUGCAUGGUAGGCAGUUUGACUGGGGCGGUCUCCUCCCAAAGUGUAACGGAGGAGUUCGAAGGUACGCUAGGUACGGUCGGACAUCGUGCUAAUAGUGCAAUGGCAUAAGCGUGCUUAACUGCGAGACUGACAAGUCGAGCAGAUGCGAAAGCAGGACAUAGUGAUCCGGUGGUUCUGUAUGGAAGGGCCAUCGCUCAACGGAUAAAAGGUACUCUGGGGAUAACAGGCUGAUACCGCCCAAGAGUUCAUAUCGACGGCGGUGUUUGGCACCUCGAUGUCGGCUCAUCUCAUCCUGGGGCUGUAGCCGGUCCCAAGGGUAUGGCUGUUCGCCAUUUAAAGAGGUACGUGAGCUGGGUUUAAAACGUCGUGAGACAGUUUGGUCCCUAUCUUCCGUGGGCGCUGCAGAUUUGAGGAAGCCUGCUCCUAGUACGAGAGGACCGGAGUGGACGAACCUCUGGUGUAUCGGUUGUCACGCCAGUGGCAUUGCCGAGUAGCUAAGUUCGGAAGAGAUAACCGCUGAAAGCAUCUAAGCGGGAAACUCGUUUCAAGAUUAGAUCUGCCGGGGCCUUGAGCCCCCUAAAGAGUCGUUCAAGACCAGGACGUUGAUAGGUCAGGUGUGGAAGCGAAG